GUUAGAUUUAAUUUUGUGAAAAAGAAAAAUCUUGCAAAAGAAUUUGCGAUAACUAAGUUGGUCUAGUUCUUUUUAUUGGACAAAUUUCGAAUUAAGUAAACUAGGUAAUAGUUAUUAUACAUUUAAUUAAUCUUGUUGCAUAAAUUGUAACUAUUGAUAUGAAUAUGUAAAAGUUAUGGCUUUUAGUUAUUUAGGGAGAAAGUAAAAUUCCCUAUCUAGAUGCAGCAGAACAUAAUUGAGACUUCGUGAUAAGAAUCCUACUAACCUUUUAAAUAAAAUAGCUAUUGCCCUGGAGAUUGAAUAAUUAGCCUGUAGUUGCUUCCACGAGAUUUCAAGGAUUUACCGCCAAGCAUUGAUCCUUCUAUGGAAAUAUUAAAUAAUAUACUCAACUCAGCUAAGUCUUUGUCCCAAAAAUUUGGAGUUGGCUAU
rnacentral:misc_RNA from 1 species